CCCCUAGAUGUUCUGGGCCGCACGCGCGCUACACUGAACAGUUCAACAAGUCUUAACCUUGGCCGAUAGGUCUGGGUAAUCUUUGAACGCUGUUCGUGAUUGGGAUAGACCUUUGCAAUUAUGGGUCUUCAACGAGGAAUUCCUAGUAAACGCAAGUCAUCAGCUUGCAUUGAUUACGUCCCUGCCCUUUGUACACACCGCCCGUCGCACCUACCGAUUGAAUGGUCCGGUGAAAUCUCGGGACAGCGGCUUGGUCGCUUGCGUCCGACUGCUGAAACUUGAUUAAACCAUAUCAUUUAGAGGAAGGUGAANUCGUANCA
rnacentral:rRNA from 1 species